GCCUCGAUGGUGAAACGGUAAACACGCUAGAUUCAAAAUCUGGUGCGAGAUAGCUUGGAGGUUCGAAUCCUCUUCGAGGCA
rnacentral:tRNA from 1 species